UGGGGAAUAUUGGGCAAUGGGGGGAACCCUGACCCAGCAACGCCGCGUGAAGGAAGAAGGUUUUCGGAUUGUAAACUUCUGUCCUUGGUGAAGAGGAAGAGACGGUAGCCAAGGAGGAAGCCCCGGCUAACUACGUGCCAGCAGCCGCGGUAAUACGUAGGUGGCGAGCGUUGUCCGGAAUCACUGGGCGUAAAGGGCGCGCAGGCGGUUUAUCAAGUUACAUGUGAAAUACCAGGGCUCAACCUUGGGGGGUCAUGUAAAACUGGUGGACUUGAGUGCAGUAGAGGUAAGCGGAAUUCCUGGUGUAGCGGUAAAAUGCGUAGAGAUCAGGAGGAACACCGGUGGCGAAGGCGGCUUACUGGGCUGCAACUGACGCUGAGGCGCGAAAGCGUGGGGAGCAAACAGG
rnacentral:rRNA from 1 species